AACUGAUAAAAUCGAGAAUGUGUUGAGAAAUACAAGCAUUUUUUGGCAAAACAAUUUUUUGCCCCCCACUAGAAAAAAUCCUGGCGACGCCCAUGAGGGAAAGUAGCGAUGAACCAACAACUUCAGGGGAAUCCAAUCGUCCAAUCCAAGUUAUUUUGUUAUUGCAGUUUAAACCCCUCCCCCUCCCCACUGGAGAUGAGAGGCUGUAGAGGAAUUUGUUGUGGUGACAAUGAAUCAUUCUAAUCAAAGUCAGUAUGGGCUCUGAGAAACACGCAGGAGACAAGAUCUGCCGCAGUCAUUGUUAGCAAGAACUACCAGUUUAAUAAGGUCUAUGAUUUUGCACUUGUGCUUUGAAAUCAAGGAGCAAUUGUAGUUGACUUCCAAGGUAGAGAGUAGACUCUCUGCUGUUGUCACAAAGAUUUACACGUGUGUAUUUGGAGGACAGUUUUGCAAGUUGUAAACAUAUUUUUCAAACUAUGAAUGAUUCGCUGAUUGUGCAUAUGCCCUGAAAGUGUCCACUGGUUCCACCUCAGAAAUUGCUUUCAAAUGUGGUCAUCCGAUUAUAGUCUCCAUAAUCUCUUGAGAUCAAUUCAAGUCUGCAUGUCCUGUUGAUAGCAACUACAACAUUGAUGUCUUAUUUUUUGAUGGAUAAAAAAAAUCUUCUUUGUAAUUUCAGAUGUUUUCAAAUUCUGAAAUGGUCUGAUGAUCCACUAUGAGCCCUGUCUGAUAAACACUAUUCUAAGACCCCACUGUUCUCAAUCCAAUUCAAGUUGACUUGACUCUGAUAUGCCUUUUUGUUUCUAUCUCACAUCUUCCUCUGCAGGUGGUCCACACAGACAGCACGAUAGCCUUGCAGAGGAGAGUGUUUCUCACGGGUGGAUUUACAACUGACUGACCAAUCAACCUUCAUCAGAACUUUUUGAAGUAGUGGAGGUGGGAAAGCUAGGUUUUCAGGGAGGUUGCUGACAGCCAGGGGAUGACCAGCAUCUUUCACCAGUAGUCUCCUGGUCUUCCACUGCAUCUCAAAUGUCUUGCCACCACAGACGGAUGUUUCAGUGAAGAAGUUUUGCUCCAACCUCUCUGCCAUCUGCCAUGCGAUGGGCGCUAGAGCACAUCCCGUUUAGGAAGUCGGUAGCUAGGGGUGGAGGAGCAACGUUCAAGUUAACAACGCUGAUGUUUAAUGGUAGCUACUAGAGAUCCUGGAUGCUGACUCUGCCUAGACAGGACCUGAGAGACUUUGUCCUUCUUGCAAGUCAUCGGAAGCCUGUUAUCAGAACCACAAGAAGA
rnacentral:lncRNA from 1 species